rnacentral:rRNA from 1 species
UACGUAGGUGGCAAGCGUUGUCCGGAUUUACUGGGCGUAAAGAGCGUGUAGGUGGUUUCGUAAGUCUGGCGUGAAAUUUUUCGGCUUAACCGGGAAAGGUCGUCGGAUACUGCGGAGCUAGAGGACGGUAGAGGCGUGUGGAAUUCCGGGUGUAGUGGUGAAAUGCGUAGAGAUCCGGAGGAACACCAGUGGCGAAGGCGACACGCUGGGCCGUACCUGACACUGAUGCGCGACAGCAUGGGGAGCAAACAGG